UACGUAGGUGGCAAGCGUUGUCCGGAUUUAUUGGGUUUAAAGGGUGCGUAGGCGGCCCUGUAAGUCAGUGCUGAAAUAUCCCAGCUUAACUGGGAGGGUGGCAUUGAUACUGCGGGGCUAGAGUACAGAUGAGGUAGGCGGAAUUGACGGUGUAGCGGUGAAAUGCUUAGAUAUCGUCAAGAACACCUAUAGCGAAGGCAGCUUACUAGGCUGUAACUGACGCUGAGGCGCGAAAGCGUGGGGAGCAAACAGG
rnacentral:rRNA from 1 species